rnacentral:lncRNA from 1 species
GGGCGGAGUCUCUUUUCUGACCCUACCCAAACGCACACAGAAACAACCCCAACAUUUGCAGAGCCCUUAAGCCUGUACACCCAAUGAGGAAUCGCUGGUUAGAGGCCGCGUGAAGGACACCCUGACCAAGCUGGGUCCUGCCCAUGCCGGUAGAUCGUCCAUGGCUUCCCUUGGGGGCUGCCACCCACUGUAAACCUGAGCAAGUUCCUCUCCUGUUCCGAAGCCUGCCCUGGCAAAGCCCCAGUACAUAUUCCAAUCCUGCUCUAGGUCAGUAUUCCCACUGCACCUGUCUACCCCUCGCCCGCCCCCCGGGUCACCACGCAGGACCCCUUGCACGCUCCCCCCACCACCUUUGCUAUGCAACUCCUCCCCUUUAUCUGCUAGGGAGACUCCUAUGCAUUCAUCAAGGUCCAGCUCAAAUCUGGCCACCCUCAGUGGCUUUUCCUGACGCUCUCAGCAGAACCAAACCUCCAGCUUUGUUAUGUGUUGGUGUUGCAGUACACAGUGAGUGAGUUCUGUUUGUUUUCCAGGGCGGCAAUGAAAGGGUAGUCAUCAGGGACACAUAGGCUCGGGAAACCAACCCCCCUGGGUUCAGAGUGGGCUCGUUGCUAGCUGUGUGCUCCACUGUCUGUGCCUUCAUAUCUAUGGUGCGGGAGUUAAAGGAAUCAAUAGGUGGAAGGUGCAUGUACCAGUGCCUGGCACUGAUGUACAUUCAAUCAAAGUUAGCUACCGUUGCCAGCUUUGCCAAAACGGGGUACUUGGGGGCGAGGAGGAGUGGCUGGAGGCUGGGGUUGGGGUGGCUUCUGGGUUUCUGGUGCUGUUUUAAUCUCGACCUGGGCACUGGUUUUAGUUUGUGAAAAAUCAUUGAGUUGCAUACUUAGAAUAUGUGCACUUUUCCAUAUGUCCAUCAUACAUUAAUAAAAAGUGUUUCUAGAAGUUAGUUGUUUUUCACUAAGAGCAGGACAGCCCUCAUCUCCUUGAGAACAAGAACAAAGCCUGACAUCCCAGCAGCUUGCACAGUGCUGGCGGGGCACGCUGUAAGUGCUCAGCUGAUGGUUGUUGAAUUGCUCUGAAUGGAUUGUGAGCAAGAGACCAGCAGGGGUGGAGGCUGACAGGAGAGACAGCGCCUGCCUCUGUACUCUAAAGUGCCGGGGAACUCGUGGUGAUUUGGAUCCAGUUCAGGCACCUGAAGCCCAGUUAAAGAGAAGGAAUCUUCAGUCUUUUCUCUCUCAGAUACAGCCGGGCACGGUGGCUCACACCUGUAAUCCCAGUACUUUUAGGAGGCUGAGGCAGGAGGAUCACUGGAACCCAGGAGUUCGAGACCAGCCUGGGCAACAUGCAAAUGGAGCCAUUGGGAGGACACUUGACCGAGAGGAGAGCAUUGCUUGAGCCAGGGGUGCCGUCUGCAGGACAGAGACAGGAGGCAGUGUUGUUUCCAGGGCAUCGUGGACCAUGGCACAGGUGAGCAAUUUAAAAAGGUGAUUGGAAUCAUAUGUUAGAAUAAUGACCUUAGCAGUCAAAGGCUCCUGGAAUUUGUCAUUUAAUUUCAUAUUUUAGGUGGACUGAUCUGUAAUUUAGUUAAUUUCACAUCUCCAUCUAGGAAAACUGGAGCUCUGCACAAUAUUUUCUGCAGACGACAAAGUAUUCACCCAAACUAUUUCUCAUAGUAAAAUGUGCUCUUUGUCCCCAGAGAACUGCUGAAUACUACAUAAGAUCUGUGUAGGAGCCAUGCUUUAACAACAACAAACACCUCAGACACACAACAACCCUUUCCUCCCUCGAUAAAGAUACUGAAAAGAAUCUGGUCUCUGGGGUGAGGAGUAGGGGAAGCAGGUGCAAGCAAGUGGGUGCAGAGGAGUGGGAAGAUGGCAUUUUGUGUAGGAAAGAAUUUAACGUUGCCCAAAGAGAGGUCUGGCUUUUGUCCUCACCUUCUGGGAGGUGAACUCUAAGCCCUUGGAAUAUCAUGCCUGAUUGGAGUUUGUUUGCCUGGGAUCCUUGUGUCACAGAAUGGUCUAACCAUAUGAUUUAGGGUAGAUGCUGGCCACACUGGAUAGGUUUAGGGUAGGGGUUGGCUGUGCCAGAAAGACCAACAAUGUGACUUAGGGUGGGGUCUUUGGGUCACGUGGUAUCAGCUGACUCUGGAGGAGCUGGAGAGGGAGGGCAGUCACCUGUGUGAUGGAGCCGCAAUAAAAACUCUGAACACUGGGGCUAUGGUGAGCUGCCCUGGUUGGCAGUACUCCAUGGGUACUGUCACACAUCAAUGCCAGGAAAGUCAUGCUUUUCAUGAUUCCAUGGGGAAGAGGACAGUGGAAGCUCCAUGUCUGGUACCUUCCUGGACUAUGCCCUAUGCCCUUCCUCCCUUGGCUGAUUUUAAUCUGUAUCCUUUUGAUGUAAUAAUGUGCAACUGUGAGUAUGAGAGCUUUUGAUGAGUUCUGCGUCCUUCCAGUGAAUGAUCAAACCUGAGGGUGGUCUAGGGUACCCCUUGCAGUUGGUGCAGCAAUAAAGGUGGUCUUAUGUGGAUGGUGCUCCCUUUAACUUGACAGGUGGCUAACUGAUAUGGUUGGCUGUGUCCCCACCCAAAUCUCAUCUUGAAUUUCCAUGUGUUGUGGGAGGGACCCAGUCGAAGAUAAUUGAAUCAUGGAGGCAAGUCUUUCCUGUGUUGUUCUCACGAUAGUGAAUACAUCUCACGAGAUCUGAUGGUUUUAAAAACAGGAGUUGCCCUGUAAGAGCUCUUUCUCCCUUUGCCUGCUACCAUCCAUGUAAGAUGUGACUUGCUCCUCCUUGCCUUCCACCAUGAUUGUGAAACUUCCCCA